GUUGGUGAACCAGCGGAGGGAUCAUUACCGAGUUUACAACUCCCAAACCCCUGUGAACAUACCAAUUGUUGCCUCGGCGGAUCAGCCCGCUCCCGGUAAAACGGGACGGCCCGCCAGAGGACCCCUAAACUCUGUUUCUAUAUGUAACUUCUGAGUAAAACCAUAAAUAAAUCAAAACUUUCAACAACGGAUCUCUUGGUUCUGGCAUCGAUGAAGAACGCAGCAAAAUGCGAUAAGUAAUGUGAAUUGCAGAAUUCAGUGAAUCAUCGAAUCUUUGAACGCACAUUGCGCCCGCCAGUAUUCUGGCGGGCAUGCCUGUUCGAGCGUCAUUUCAACCCUCAAGCCCAGCUUGGUGUUGGGACUCGCGAGUUAAAUCGCGUUCCCCAAAUUGAUUGGCGGUCACGUCGAGCUUCCAUAGCGUAGUAGUAAAACCCUCGUUACUGGUAAUCGUCGCGGCCACGCCGUUAAACCCCAACUUCUGAAUGUUGACCUCGGAUCAGGUAGGAAUACCCGCUGAACUUAAGCAUAUCA
rnacentral:rRNA from 1 species